GUGAACGCUGGCGGUAGGCCUAACACAUGCAAGUCGAACGGCAGCACAGUAAGAGCUUGCUCUUCCGGGUGGCGAGUGGCGGACGGGUGAGGAAUACAUCGGAAUCUACUUUUUCGUGGGGGAUAACGUAGGGAAACUUACGCUAAUACCGCAUACGACCUACGGGUGAAAGCAGGGGAUCUUCGGACCUUGCGCGAUUGAAUGAGCCGAUGUCGGAUUAGCUAGUUGGCGGGGUAAAGGCACACCAAGGCGACGAUCCGUAGCUGGUCUGAGAGGAUGAUCAGCCACACUGGAACUGAGACACGGUCCAGACUCCUACGGGAGGCAGCAGUCGAGAAUAUUGGACAAUGGGGGCAAGCCUGAUCCAGCCAUACCGCGUAGGUGAAGAAGGCCUUCGGGUUGUAAAGCCCUUUUGUUGGGAAAGAAAAGCAGCAGGUUAAUACCCCGCUGUUCUGACGGUACCCAAAGAAUAAGCACCGGCUAACUUCGUG
rnacentral:rRNA from 1 species